GAAUUCGCCCUUAGAGUUUGAUCCUGGCUCAGAACGAACGCUGGCGGCAGGCCUAACACAUGCAAGUCGAGCGCACCCUUCGGGGCGAGCGGCGGACGGGUUAGUAACGCGUGGGAACAUACCCUUUUCUACGGAAUAGCCAUUGGAAACGAUGAGUAAUACCGUAUACGCCCUUCGGGGGAAAGAUUUAUCGGAGAAGGAUUGGCCCGCGUUAGAUUAGAUAGUUGGUGGGGUAACGGCCUACCAAGUCUACGAUCUAUAGCUGGUUUUAGAGGAUGAUCAGCAACACUGGGACUGAGACACGGCCCAGACUCCUACGGGAGGCAGCAGUGGGGAAUCUUAGACAAUGGGCGCAAGCCUGAUCUAGCCNUGCCGCGUGUGUGAUGAAGGCCUUAGGGUCGUAAAGCACUUUCGCCAGAGAUGAUAAUGACAGUAUCUGGUAAAGAAACCCCGGCUAACNCCGUGCCAGCAGCCGCGGUAAUAAGGGCG
rnacentral:rRNA from 1 species